CCCUUAGAUGUUCUGGGCUGCACGCGCGCUACACUGAUGCACUCAACGAGUUUACGACCUUGCCCGAUAGGGUUGGGUAAUCUUUUUAAAAUGCAUCGUGAUGGGGAUAGAUUAUUGCAAUUAUUAAUCUUCAACGAGAAAUUCCUAGUAAGCGCGAGUCAUCAGCUCGUGCUGAUUACGUCCCUGCCCUUUGUACACACCGCCCGUCGCUCCUACCGAUUGAGUGCUCAGGUGAAUAAUUCGGACUGCAGCAAUGUUUGGAUCCCGAACGUUGCAGCGGAAAGUUUAGUGAACCUUAUCACUUAGAGGAAGGAGAAGUCGUAACA
rnacentral:rRNA from 1 species